GAUGAAGAACGUAGCGAAAUGCGAUAAGUAGUGUGAAUUGCAGAAUUCAGUGAAUCAUCGAAUCUUUGAACGCACAUUGCGCCCUAUAGUAUUCUGUAGGGCAUGCAUGUUCGAGCGUCAUUUGUACCUUCAAGCUUUGCUUGGUGUUGGGUGUUUGUCCUCUCCCUGGUGUUUGGACUCGCCUUAAAACAAUUGGCAGCCAGUGUUUUGGUAUUGAAGCGCAGCACAAUUUGCGAUUCUGGCCUUAAAAUACUAGCGUCCAUAAGUACAUUCUCACUUUUAACCUCGGAUCAUGUAGGGAUACCCGCUGAACUUAAGCAUAUCAAUAAGCGGAGGA
rnacentral:misc_RNA from 1 species